rnacentral:rRNA from 1 species
GAAACCCCGGUAGUCCUAGCCGUACACGAUGGAUGCUAGGUCUGGGGGGUGUAGAUUCCCUCCGUGCCGCAGUUAACGCGUUAAGCAUCCCGCCUGGGGAGUACGGCCGCAAGGCUAAGACUCAAACGAAUUGACGGGGGCCCGCACAAGCAGCGGAGCGUGUGGUUUAAUUCGAUGCUACACGAAGAACCUUACCUGGGCUUGACAUACAGGUAGUAGUGAAGUGAAAGCGGAUCGAUCCUUCGGGGAGCCUGUACAGGUGCUGCAUGGCUGUCGUCAGCUCGUGCCGUGAGGUGUCGGGUUAAGUCCCGUAACGAGCGCAACCCUUGCUCUUAGUUAUACGUGUCUAAGAGGACUGCCGGCGGUAAGCCGGAGGAAGGUGGGGAUAACGUCAAGUCAGCAUGGCCUUUAUGUCCAGGGCUACACACACGCUACAAUGGCCGGUACAAUGGGUAGCUAAACCGCGAGGUGGAGCCAAUCCUGUAAAGCCGGUCUCAGUUCGAAUUGCAGGCUGCAACUCGCCUGCAUGAAGUCGGAGUUGCUAGUAAUCGCAGGUCAGCAAUACUGCGCUGAAUACGUUCCCGGGCCUUGUACACACCGCCCGUCACGUCAUGGAAGCUGGCAACACCUGAAGCCGGUGAGCUAACCCGAAAGGGGGGCAACUGUCGAAGGUG